UGAGGGAAUAUUUGGGUCAAUGGGCGCAGGCCUGAACCAGCCAAGUCGCGUGAGGGAGGACGGUCCUACGGAUUGUAAACCUCUUUUGUCGGGGAGUAACGUGCGGGACGGGUCCCGUAUUGAGAGUACCCGAAGAAAAGCAUCGGCUAACUCCGUGCCAGCAGCCGCGGUAAUACGGAGGAUGCGAGCGUUAUCCGGAUUUAUUGGGUUUAAAGGGUGCGCAGGCGGCGCGCCAAGUCAGCGGUCAAAGUUCCGGGCUCAACCCGGUGUCGCCGUUGAAACUGGCGUGCUCGAGUGCGUGCGAGGAAGGCGGAAUGCGUUGUGUAGCGGUGAAAUGCAUAGAUAUGACGCAGAACUCCGAUUGCGAAGGCAGCUUUCCAGCGCGCUACUGACGCUGAGGCACGAAAGCGUGGGGGAUCGAACA
rnacentral:rRNA from 1 species